UACAGAGGUCUCAAGCGUUGUUCGGAUUCAUUGGGCGUAAAGGGUGCGCAGGUGGCGAGGCAAGUCGGAUGUGAAAUCCCGGGGCUCAACCCCGGAACUGCAUCCGAUACUGCCGUGCUUGAGGGUUGGAGAGGUAGCUGGAAUUAUCGGUGUAGCAGUGAAAUGCGUGGAUAUCGAUAGGAACACUCGUGGCGAAGGCGAGCUACUGGACAACAUCUGACGCUGAGGCUCGAAGGCUAGGGGAGCAAAAGGG
rnacentral:rRNA from 1 species